GCAAGGCAGCUUUGAAAAACUAGCUUUUCGGCUUCUGCGCAAACCUCUCAAAUGUGGGUAAACAGUGACCCUUUAAUGAAAUUUUCUGGCAAUCCUACCCUUUCCCGAUUCCACGGCGAAGCUUCUUCACAAUGCAGAAGAUGGGGCAGGAAUGGUUUUCACAGACCGGCAGCGGCGGCGACGACUCGCAGAAGCCGUCGUUGUCUUCUUUGCUAGCCAAUUGGAACUCCUACGCCGCUUCAUAAUCCACUGACUAGAGCUCUUCUUUGGGACUUGGAUUCGAUCUCGAAUCUGCGGUGCGCUCUACUAACGACAUUGUUUCCGGCACUUUCAGCGUUGAGUGAGAAAUGAAAGUGAAGUUGCUGCAGUGGUUAAAAGAGCAUAGACGAAAAUUUGAGUAUAUGGUUGUAUUUGCUUAGUUCAGUUCUCUUUGUAUAAAAAAUAGAGAGAUCAUAUAGUUGUAAAUGAUUCAAUUUCUUGGUUUAGUUAGUGUUUCGAAGUGAUAUGUGAUUGUACAAUGAUUCCAUAACUGCUAUAGUUGUUUCCUAUAUGCUACCAGAUGCUAUGGAUUGUACAAGAAUGCUAUAAAAAGCUAUAACAGCAUUUGGAAAAUGCUAUGAAAAGUUUACAAUAGCAUUUGAUGAAUGCAUCUAAUUAGACUACUUUCAAGUA